CCUUAGGCACUCAAUCUAAGGUUAAACCUGCCCAAUGUUAAUUUUAUCAAUGGCCGCGGUACUUUGACCGUGCUAAGGUAGCGCAAUCAAUUGGCUUUUAAUUGAAGCCAUGUAUGAAUGGAAUCACGGGGUUUAGCUGUCUCUCAAUUAAUUUAUCGAAAUUACUAUUUAGGUGAAAAAGCCUAAUGAAAGAAAAAAGACGAGAAGACCCUUAGAGUUUUACUAAAUUUGGGGAUAUCUCCAAAACAGUUUAGUUGGGGCAACAUAGGAGCAAUAACUAACCUCCUGUAAUUAAUCAACCGAUUAUAAUAAAUGUGAAUAAACUACCUUAGGGAUAACAGCAUAAUUUUAUAAAUAAGUUUGUGACCUCGAUGUUGGACUAGGAAACUGAAAGGCUAGCCGCCUUUUAGGAAAGUUCUGUUCGAACUAUUAUUCCU
rnacentral:rRNA from 1 species